GACGAACGCUGGCGGCGUGCUUAACACAUGCAAGUCGAACGGUAAGGCCCUUCGGGGUACACGAGUGGCGAACGGGUGAGUAACACGUGGGUGAUCUGCCCUGCACUUCGGGAUAAGCCUGGGAAACUGGGUCUAAUACCGGAUAGGACCCUGGGAUGCAUGUCCUGGGGUGGAAAGCUUUUGCGGUGUGGGAUGGGCCCGCGGCCUAUCAGCUUGUUGGUGGGGUGAUGGCCUACCAAGGCGACGACGGGUAGCCGGCCUGAGAGGGUGACCGGCCACACUGGGACUGAGAUACGGCCCAGACUCCUACGGGAGGCAGCAGUGGGGAAUAUUGCACAAUGGGCGCAAGCCUGAUGCAGCGACGCCGCGUGAGGGAUGACAGCCUUCGGGUUGUAAACCUCUUUCAGCACCGACGAAGCGCAAGUGACUGUAGGUGCAGAAGAAGGACCGGCCAACUACGUGCCAGCAGCCGCAGUAA
rnacentral:rRNA from 1 species